rnacentral:rRNA from 1 species
CUACGGGUGGCUCCAGUGAGGAAUAUUGCAAAAUGGAGGACACGCGGAAGAAGAAACGCCGCGUGGAGGGUCACGCAUUUCGGUGUGUAAACUCCUUUUCUCUGCCAAGGGGGGGAGGGGAGAAGAUGAAUAAGCUCCGGCUAACUACGUGCGAGGAGCCGCGGUAAUACGGAGGGAGCAAGCGUUACUCGGAAUCACUGGGCGUAAAGGACGCGUAGGCGGGAUAGAAAGUCAGGUGUGAAAUCCUAUGGCUCAACCAUAGAACUGCACUUGAAACUUCUAACCUAGAGUAUGGGAGGGGAAGCUGGAAUUAGUGGUGUAGGGGUAAAAUCCGUAGAUAUCACUAGGAAUACCAAAAGCGAAGGCGAUCUUCUGGAACAAUACUGACGCUAAGGCGUGAAAGCGUGGGGAGCAAACAGGAUUAGAUACCCGAGUAGUC